rnacentral:lncRNA from 12 species
CUGGAAACCCAUAUGGUGUGGGGCAAAAAAAUGUCACAGUGUGCUCACAGACAGAGGAGCAGAGACAUGGGAUCUACUUCCUAAAAGUGUCAUUGACAGAAGUGACAACAACCCUCUCAGCCCAGAAAGCAGAGGUGUGCUGAUGGAACAAACAAACCAAACCAACUUUCUUUGCCUUCUGCUGAUGCUGCUUCAGAUCUGAGCUGCUGGAAAUCCCCUCAAGGAGUAUUUGCAAGCUGCUCUGCAUGGCCAUUUCAGCACAGCCCAGCUGGUUAAUGAUAGCAAAUCUGGGCUGGUAACAGCUCCUGAAAUAAAACCCAUCUUGCCAGAAGAAGAA